rnacentral:rRNA from 1 species
AGAGUUUGAUCCUGGCUCAGGAUGAACGCUAGCGACAGGCCUAACACAUGCAAGUCGAGGGGCAGCGGAGAGGUAGCAAUACCUUUGCCGGCGACCGGCGCACGGGUGAGUAACACGUAUGCAAUCCACCUGUAACAGGGGGAUAACCCGGAGAAAUCCGGACUAAUACCCCAUAAUAUGGGCUCUCCGCAUGGAGGGUUCAUUAAAGAGAGCAAUUUUGGUUACAGACGAGCAUGCGCUCCAUUAGCCAGUUGGCGGGGUAACGGCCCACCAAAGCGACGAUGGAUAGGGGUUCUGAGAGGAAGGUCCCCCACAUUGGAACUGAGACACGGUCCAAACUCCUACGGGAGGCAGCAGUGAGGAAUAUUGGUCAAUGGACGAGAGUCUGAACCAGCCAAGUAGCGUGAAGGAUGAAGGUUCUAUGGAUUGUAAACUUCUUUUAUACGGGAAUAAAACCUCCCACGUGUGGGAGCUUGUAUGUACCGUAUGAAUAAGCAUCGGCUAACUCCGUGCCAGCAGCCGCGGUAAUACGGAGGAUGCGAGCGUUAUCCGGAUUUAUUGGGUUUAAAGGGUGCGUAGGCGGUUUAUUAAGUUAGUGGUUAAAUAUUUGAGCUAAACUCAAUUGUGCCAUUAAUACUGGUAAACUGGAGUACAGACGAGGUAGGCGGAAUAAGUUAAGUAGCGGUGAAAUGCAUAGAUAUAACUUAGAACUCCGAUAGCGAAGGCAGCUUACCAGACUGUAACUGACGCUGAUGCACGAGAGCGUGGGUAGCGAACAGGAUUAGAUACCCUGGUAGUCCACGCCGUAAACGAUGCUCACUGGAUCUUGGCGAUACACCGCCAGGGUUCAAGCGAAAGUAUUAAGUGAGCCACCUGGGGAGUACGUCGGCAACGAUGAAACUCAAAGGAAUUGACGGGGGCCCGCACAAGCGGAGGAACAUGUG